CCUACGGGAGGCAGCAGUGGGGAAUAUUGGACAAUGGGCGAAAGCCUGAUCCAGCAAUGCCGCGUGAGUGAUGAAGGCCUUCGGGUCGUAAAGCUCUUUUACCAGGGAUGAUAAUGACAGUACCUGGAGAAUAAGCUCCGGCUAACUCCGUGCCAGCAGCCGCGGUAAUACGGAGGGAGCUAGCGUUGUUCGGAAUUACUGGGCGUAAAGAGUACGUAGGCGGUUAUUCAAGUCAGAGGUGAAAGCCCGGGGCUCAACCCCGGAACUGCCUUUGAAACUAGAUAACUAGAGUCUUGGAGAGGUUAGUGGAAUUCCGAGUGUAGAGGUGAAAUUCGUAGAUAUUCGGAAGAACACCAGUGGCGAAGGCGACUAACUGGACAAGUACUGACGCUGAGGUACGAAAGCGUGGGGAGCAAACAGGAUUAGAUACCCUGGUAGUCCACGCCGUAAACGAUGAUAACUAGUUGUUCGGUCACUUGGUGACUGAGUGACGCAGCUAACGCAUUAAGUUAUCCGCCUGGGGAGUACGGUCGCAAGAUUAAAACUCAAAGAGUAUAGCGNGUGAGAGNGACGAGACGACAGAGGAGGAG
rnacentral:rRNA from 1 species